rnacentral:rRNA from 1 species
GAUGAACGCUAGCGAUAGGCCUAACACAUGCAAGUCGAGGGGUAACAGGGGAGCUUGCUCCCGCUGACGACCGGCGGAUGGGUGAGUAACACGUAUGCAACCUACCUUUCACACGGGCAUAACCCGGAGAAAUCCGGACUAAUUUCCGAUAACAUUUGUGUGUUUCAUGACAUAUAAAUUAAAGAUUCAUCGGUGAAAGAUGGGCAUGCGUAUGAUUAGCUAGUUGGUGGGGUAAUGGCUCACCAAGGCAACGAUCAUUAGGGGUUCUGAGAGGAAGGUCCCCCACACUGGUACUGAGACACGGACCAGACUCCUACGGGAGGCAGCAGUGAGGAAUAUUGGUCAAUGAGCGCGAGCUUGAACCAGCCACGUCGCGUGCAGGAAGACGGUCCUAUGGAUUGUAAACUGCUUUUACACAGGAAUAAAGUGAUAUACGAGCUAUAUCAUUGCAAGUACUGUGAGAAUAAGGAUCGGCUUAACUCCGUGCCAGCAGCCGCGGUAAUACGGGAGGAUCCAAGCGUUAUCCGGAUUUAUUGGGUUUAAAGGGUGCGUAGGCGGACUGAUAAGUCAGCGGUGAAAUUUUGCAGCUUAACUGUAAACGUGCCGUUGAAACUGUUAGUCUUGAGUGUAGAUAAGGUAGGCGGAAUGUGUUGUGUAGCGGUGAAAUGCUUAGAUAUGACACAGAACCCCAAUUGCGAAGGCAGCUUACUGGGUUACCACUGACGCUGAGAGCACGAAAGCGUGGGGAUCAAACAGGAUUAGAUACCCUGGUAGUCCACGCAGUAAACGAUGAUUACUCGCUGUUUGCGAUAUAUUGUAAGCGGCCAAGCGAAAGCAUUAAGUAAUCCACCUGGGGAGUACGUUCGCAAGAAUGAAACUCAAAGGAAUUGACGGGGCCCGCACAAGCGGAGGAACAUGUGGUUUAAUUCGAUGAUACGGCGAGGACCCUUAACCGGGCUUGAAAUGCAUCUGACGAAUUAGGAAACUAAUUUUCUAGCAAUAGCAGAUGUGUAGGUGCUGCAUGGUUGUCGUCAGCUCGUGCCGUGAGGUGUCGGCUUAAGUGCCAUAACGAGCGCAACCCUCAUCAUUAGUUGCUAACAGGUCAAGCUGAGGACUCUAAUGAGACUGCCACCGUAAGGUGUGAGGAAGGUGGGGAUGACGUCAAAUCAGCACGGCCCUUAUGUCCGGGGCGACACACGUGUUACAAUGGGGGGUACAACGGGCAGCUACCACGCGAGUGGAUGCUAAUCUCUAAAAGCCUCUCUCAGUUCGGAUCGGAGUCUGCAACUCGACUCCGUGAAGCUGGAUUCGCUAGUAAUCGCGCAUCAGCCAUGGCGCGGUGAAUACGUUCCCGGGCCUUGUACACACCGCCCGUCAAGCCAUGGAAGCCGGGGGUACCUGAAGUACGUGACCGUCAUAGGAGCGUCCUAGGGUAAAACCGGUAACUGGGGC